rnacentral:tRNA from 1 species
GACAGUGUGGCUUAGAGGAAAGAGCACAGGCCUGGGAGUCAGAGAACCUGGGUUCUAAUCCUGGCUCUGUCA